rnacentral:rRNA from 1 species
CCUACGGGUGGCAGCAGUGAGGAAUAUUGGUCAAUGGCCGUAAGGCUGAACCAGCCAAGUCGCGUGAAGGAAGAAGGAGCUAUGGUUUGUAAACUUCUUUUGUAGAGGAAUAAAGUUAGCCACGUGUGCAUAUUUGAAUGUACUUUAUGAAUAAGCAUCGGCUAACUCCGUGCCAGCAGCCGCGGUAAUACGGAGGAUGCGAGCGUUAUCCGGAUUUAUUGGGUUUAAAGGGUGCGUAGGUUGGUUUUUAAGUCAGCGGUGAAAGUUUGUGGCUCAACCAUAAAAUUGCCGUUGAAACUGGCAGUCUUGAGUGUGUUUGAGGUAGGCGGAAUGCGUGGUGUAGCGGUGAAAUGCUUAGAUAUCACGCAGAACUCCGAUUGCGAAGGCAGCUUACUAA